rnacentral:rRNA from 1 species
CACGUAGGCGGCUUUGUAAGUUAGAGGUGAAAGCCCGGGGCUCAACUCCGGAAUUGCCUUUAAGACUGCAUCGCUAGAAUUGUGGAGAGGUAAGUGGAAUUCCGAGUGUAGAGGUGAAAUUCGUAGAUAUUCGGAAGAACACCAGUGGCGAAGGCGACUUACUGGACACAUAUUGACGCUGAGGUGCGAAAGCGUGGGGAACAAACA